GGUCUCUUUGUGCACCCGCCCACACGGUUUGCCGUGUUUUCACCCUUCUUUGUUCUCCACCGGUCUGGGCAGGGUCUGAGGACUCCGGAGAGCAAGGCAUGGGUCCGCCUCGUGCCGCAGGUUCCUGGCCCACGCCAGCCGUACCCAGUAGCACAAUGGUAAGCGCAUGCUGGCGAGAGGGAUUUGAGGACACACGCCAGCUGCCUACACCUGAAGAAAGGGCUUUGCUGCUACGCACUGACAAGUUGGACGGCUUUUUAUUGCUUUGUUGCCAGUUAUCUGAACAUGAGAGGCUGUAAGGUGUAAUCUGCGAGCCCUGCGCCCAGACUGAACCAGGGCCUCCCUUGAACAUGAGUAUUAGACAAAUGAAAUAAGAACUUAUCUUGCCCAGACUAUAUAAUGGCUUGGAAAUGCAUAGUUUCCUGAACGAUCUCAAUAAAAUACUUUUAAAAGUACUUAAAUAGA
rnacentral:lncRNA from 1 species